rnacentral:rRNA from 1 species
GGCGGCCGGGUGAGUAACGCGUAGGAACCUACCUGGUAGCGGGGGACAACCUGGUGAAAACCAGGCUAAUACCGCAUACGCCCUACGGGGGAAAGCAGGGGAUCUUCGGACCUUGCACUAUCAGAUGGGCCUGCGUCGGAUUAGCUAGUUGGUGAGGUAAUGGCUCACCAAGGCGACGAUCCGUAGCUGGUUUGAGAGAAUGAUCAGCCACACUGGGACUGAGACACGGCCCAG